CAGAAAGGUUCUGAGGGUAGAGAAUGAGGGGCAGAUAAUUCGAGUCAGUAAAAAUGUUGGUUUUUACUCUUUAUUGGAUUUUUGAAUCUGUCUCCAUCCCCUCCUGACUUCCGGUUCCUGGCAAUUCUCAGCCUCAGCCCCUGUCUCAGAAACCAAAGCAUGAAGACAAGUCCUUUCCAGGACAAACGUCUGCUCCUUGUGGGUGCCUCAGCUUGUCCACCUCUGAUCAGAAGACCUCUUUGAAGCUACCAAUUGAAGGAGUCAUACUGUGGUAUGGCCCAGAAUGGGGAAGAAUACUCAAUCACAUCAGAUCACACUGCAAAGGAAAAUUGCCAUUGUAUCACCGAGAGUAACCUCCAAAGACCAGCUUAGAAUUCUGUAGUAUCUGAGGUGAGUUUCCUUUAGAGAGCUGGGUGAUCAGUUGCAAUGUCCAAGGAGAGGAA
rnacentral:lncRNA from 1 species